AGAUAAUUAGUUUAAAGAAAACCUUUGAUUUCGACUCAAACACUUGUGGUUAAAGUCCAUAAUCAUCUA
rnacentral:tRNA from 1 species